AGCGAAUGGUAUCGCGGAUAAAGGAUAAAGUUGAUGCUUAAUCGAUCGGUUUUUCGUUGUCGGCGAUGUCUAAGCAUAAGGAAAGAAGUUUGAAUGAGUUAUACAAUGUGACUUUCACUCUUUCUAAACCCAAGAUUACUCCUCUAUUGAGAGGAAGCCAUCGGAUGCAAGGGCCGUUUGUUGAACCUAUCUGUAGCUUCCAGACGAAUACGGUGUCAACUGAAGUCAAUAAGGA
rnacentral:misc_RNA from 1 species